rnacentral:lncRNA from 1 species
GUGCCUCGAGAUAAGGUCACACGGCUAGCCACACGGACAUGUGGGUCACCCAUGUGGACCACAUGUCCCCUUCACACGGCCAUGUUCACCCUGAAACCCUAGAAAUACGUUUCUCACACGGCUUAAGAACAUCCACACGGCCUGCCACAUAGUCGUGUCUCCCUUGCACCUUGAUUUUCAAUUUCCACACGGCCUAGUCACACAGUCGUGUAACCCAUCCACACAGUCCAGAGAUCUCCACAUGGUCCAGUCACACGGCCAUGUGACCCCUGUUUCUCAAAUUUUACAGUUUUGCCCAAAAUUUUAUGAUUUGUGU